CCUACGGGUGGAUGCAGUCGAGAAUCAUUCACAAUGGGGGAAACCCUGAUGGUGCGACGCCGCGUGGGGGAAUGAAGGUCUUCGGAUGGUAAGCCCCUGUCAUGUGGGAGCAAAUUAAAAAGAUAGUACCACAAGAGGCAGAGACGGCUAACUCUGUGCCAGCAGCCGCGGUAAUACAGAGGGCUCAAGCGUGGUUCGGAAUCACUGGGCGUAAAGCGUGCGGAGGCGGUUUCGUAAGUCGUGUGUGAAAGGCCCGGGCUCAACCAGCGGACGGCACAUGAUCCUGCGAGACUAGAGUAAUGGAGGGGGAAGCGGAAUUCGCGGUGUAGCAGUGAAAUGCGUAGAUA
rnacentral:rRNA from 1 species